AUUAUUGGGCGUAAGCGCGCGCAGGCGGUCCUUUAAGUCUGAUGUGAAAGCCCACGGCUCUACCGUGGAGGGUCAUUGGAAACUGGGGGACUUGAGUGCCCAUGAGGAAAGUGGAAUUCCAAGUGUAGCGGUGAAAUGCGUAAAGAUUUGGAGGAACACCAGUGGCGAAGGCGACUUUCUGGUCUGUAACUGACGCUGAGGCGCGAAAGCGUGGGGAGCAAACAGGAUUACAUACCCUGGUCGUCCCCGCCGCAAACGAUGAGUGCUAAGUGUUAGGGG
rnacentral:rRNA from 1 species